UACGUAGGGGGCGAGCGUUGUCCGGAAUGACUGGGCGUAAAGGGCGCGUAGGUGGCCUUAUAAGUUUGGAGUGAAAGUCCCGCUUUCAAGGUGGGAAUUGCUUUGAAGACUGUAGGGCUUGAGUGUGGGAGAGGAUAGCGGAAUUCCCGGUGUAGCGGUGAAAUGCGUAGAGAUCGGGAGGAACACCAGUGGCGAAGGCGGCUAUCUGGACCAAGACUGACACUGAGGCGCGAAAGCGUGGGUAGCAAACAGG
rnacentral:rRNA from 1 species